UAAUAAUUGAGAUUUUCCUUUCAGAUUUUGGGUAUAAUAUUGAUCUUGAUGUCCUUGAGUUGUUUCUGGAUCUAUAUCUCAAAGACUCAAACAAUGAAGAAGAUGCUCCAAGUUGGCACUAUAGCUUCUCUGAUUAGUCAUGAUUUGACAUCUUUAAUAAUAUGAAUAAGAGAUUUUUUUUAUUCGGUAAUGUGUUUUGUAUAAUCUAUAUAUGGUUGUGAUAAUAAUUGAAGUUUGCAUUUGGUGUUUUGAUAAGAAAUAUAUAUGCUACAAAUUUGAGAAGAAGUAUGCCGUGCAAGGGAGUACAAGUGCAAUUGUGGAUCUACCUUCUCUAGGCGUGAUAGUUUAAUCAAUCACCAUUCAAUAUGCCAAGUGUUUGUGAGAGAGGUGGCUAGGCACACAACAAAUUGGCCCCAGCAGCAGCAUGACUGCUGGAAUACAUGCAAAUGUCAGUAAUAUGCCUCUUCGUCCAAUUUGGGAGCCAAAACUUAAUAUUCCUUGAUCCUCUGAAUAUUCGGAGAUUCGUGGCUUUCCUAGCAACAUAGCACCAAGCAACAUGUUUGAUUUUGGUUUUGAUGGUAGUGCAAAACCAAAAACAAGUUGGAAUUUGAAUAUUAAAGGAGGAAGAUAACAAAGACCUAAUCUAGAUGCAGACUUUGGACCGAGAGGCACCAAUGUUGCUAAUUAUAUUUGCAGAUGGUUAACAUGUCAAUUUUUUGUUGGCAAAUUUGGGUUUGUGGCAACACCACUAGUUAACAUGUCAAUUCUAUGUCAUUCCAAAAUUUAUUAAUUUAUGAUUCAAUAAAUUGUAUAAACGGAAAGGUUUGUAAUCUUAGCAGAGAAGUCCUUUGGUGAUAA